rnacentral:rRNA from 1 species
UGUUCGGAAUUACUGGGCGUAAAGGGCGCGUAGGCGGUCUGCUAAGUUGGAUGUGAAAACUCUGGGCUUAACCCAGAGCCUGCAUUCAAUACUGACAGGCUAGAGUUCUGGAGGGGAUAGCGGAAUUCCUGGUGUAGCGGUGAAAUGCGUAGAUAUCAGGAGGAACACCGGUGGCGAAGGCGGCUAUCUGGACAGAGUCUGACGCUGAGGCGCGAAAGCUAGGGGAGCAAACAGG